UGGACCUGAUAUCAAGCAAGAUAACCCGCUGAACUACG
rnacentral:rRNA from 1 species